rnacentral:rRNA from 1 species
GACGAACGCUGGCGGCGUGCUUAACACAUGCAAGUCGAACGGAAAGGCCCUGCUUUUGUGGGGUGCUCGAGUGGCGAACGGGUGAGUAACACGUGAGUAACCUGCCCUUGACUUUGGGAUAACUUCAGGAAACUGGGGCUAAUACCGGAUAGGAGCUCCUGCCGCAUGGUGGGGGUUGGAAAGUUUCGGCGGUUGGGGAUGGACUCGCGGCUUAUCAGCUUGUUGGUGGGGUAGUGGCUUACCAAGGCUUUGACGGGUAGCCGGCCUGAGCGGGUGACCGGCCACAUUGGGACUGAGCUACGGCACAGACUCCUACGGGAGGCAGCAGUGGAGAAUAGUGCACUAUGGGCGGAAGCCUGAUGCAGCACCGCCGCGUGCGGGAUGACGGCCUUCGGGUUGUAAACCGCUUUCGCCUGUGACGAAGCGUGAGUGACGGUAAUGGGUAAAGAAGCACCGGCUAACUACGUG